rnacentral:rRNA from 1 species
UGGGGAAUAUUGCACAAUGGGCGCAAGCCUGAUGCAGCAACGCCGCGUGAACGAUGAAGGUCUUCGGAUCGUAAAGUUCUGUUGCAGGGGAAGAUAAUGACGGUACCCUGUGAGGAAGCCCCGGCUAACUACGUGCCAGCAGCCGCGGUAAUACGUAGGGGGCAAGCGUUGUCCGGAAUCACUGGGCGUAAAGGGUUCGCAGGCGGAAAUGCAAGUCAGUUGUGAAAGGCAGAGGCUCAACCUCUGUAAGCAAUUGAAACUGUAUUUCUUGAGAUGUGGAGAGGCAAGUGGAAUUCCUAGUGUAGCGGUGAAAUGCGUAGAUAUUAGGAAGAAUACCGGUGGCGAAGGCGACUUGCUGGACACAAACUGACGCUGAGGAACGAAAGCGUGGGUAGCAAACAGG